UACGUAGGGUGCAAGCGUUAAUCGGAAUUACUGGGCGUAAAGCGUGCGCAGGCGGUGAUGUAAGACAGUUGUGAAAUCCCCGGGCUCAACCUGGGAACUGCAUCUGUGACUGCAUUGCUGGAGUGCGGCAGAGGGGGAUGGAAUUCCGCGUGUAGCAGUGAAAUGCGUAGAUAUGCGGAGGAACACCGAUGGCGAAGGCGAUCCCCUGGGCCUGCACUGACGCUCAUGCACGAAAGCGUGGGGAGCAAACAGG
rnacentral:rRNA from 1 species